rnacentral:rRNA from 1 species
CAAGGAAUUUUCCCCAAUGGGCGCAAGCCUGAGGGAGCAACGCCGCGUGCAGGACGACGGCUUUCGGGUUGUAAACUGCUUUUGCGUGGGACGAUAACGACGGUACCACGCGAAUAAGCUCCGGCUAACUCCGUGCCAGCAGCCGCGGUAAUACGGAGGGAGCUAGCGUUGUUCGGAAUUACUGGGCGUAAAGCGCGCGUAGGCGGUUACUCAAGUCAGGGGUGAAAUCCCGGAGCCCAACUCCGGAACUGCCCUUGAAACUAGGCGACUAGAAUCUUGGAGAGGCGAGUGGAAUUCCGAGUGUAGAGGUGAAAUUCGUAGAUAUUCGGAAGAACACCAGUGGCGAAGGCGACUCGCUGGACAAGUAUUGACGCUGAGGUGCGAAAGCGUGGGGAGCAAACAGGAUUAGAUACCCCCGUAGUCC